GCGAUCUUGGCUCAUUGCAACUUCCACCUCCCAGGUUCAAGCGAUUCUCCUGCCUCCAUCUUCCGAGUAGGUGGCAUUACAGGCAUGUGCCACCACGCCCGGCGAGUUUUGUAUUUUUAGUAGAGAUGAGGUUUCUCCAUGUUGGUCAGGCUAGUCUCGAACUCCUGACCUCAGGUGAUCCACCCACCUUGGCCUCCCAAAGUGCUGGGAUUACAGGCAUGAGCCACUGCGCCCAGUAUAUAUCCACCACUUUACCAUCCACAUUAGCAUUUCAUUAGCUUCUCUUUGCCCUUUUAGUUAAUAACCCCAUCUCAGGGUGAUUCACUUUCAUAAUCCGUAUUACCAUGGAUUAAUUCUGCAUAGCAAAAACUAUGAUAGGUGUGUUAAGUAAUGAAGUUUGGGGAAUGUUAAUAAGAUGAUUUCUCUUACUGUAGAUGAAAUACAUCGUAAGAGAAUCCCUCGUGAGACCAGAUCAGUUACAUGUAUAUCUUGCCUCUCUUAAGUCUCUACCAUUUAUUACUGUACUUGAGUUAGGAUUUGGAAGUGCCACUGAACACUAAAAUUAUUCUGUCUGGGUAUUUGAAUGGUGUGAGACAAAAAUCCAUUUUAAUGUUUUAUCAAGUUGAGAUGUCUCACAUGAGUAGUUAGUGCUGAGAAUCAGACACAGGCACAUUUGGGAGCAUGGCGUGGCAAGAAGCUUUGCUUUUUCC
rnacentral:lncRNA from 1 species